UUUUUAUAGUCGAAAGGAUUUAUGACUGAUUACGGCCAUAUCCACAGAAAAGCACCGGAACUCGUCAGAUCUCCGCAGUUAAGCCUGUGCGAGCCCGGAUAGUACUGAGGCGGGAGACCACUCGGGAAUCCCGGGUGCUGUAAUCUUUUU